CCGGCGAGGCAGCAGGUGUAGGACCAUCGGCUGGUGAUCUGAGGGGGUGUGCUGGAUAAUCUCCGUGCGAGCAACAUACGGCAUCACGGCUUGAUUCACAUAAAUGCGAUCCAGUCGGGAGCCUCCUGGGCGGGGCGCUCGGUAGAGGUGGGUGUAGUCAUGGCGCAGGGGAUGAAGCUGACGGUGACUAUCCAUCAUGGCUGGCCCAGCUGUGCGGAGCAUUUCUGCUAUGGGGCCAUCUCCCCUCCGCCCAUCCUCCCCCGCUGUGGAGUCCAGCGCUGGGUUUUCGACAAAGUUGAAGUCCCCCGCCCAUAUAAGGGUGGUGUCAUUGUUUGUAUCUGCCUGCGUG
rnacentral:lncRNA from 1 species